rnacentral:rRNA from 1 species
ACUUAGAGUCUCCUGAAGGAACGUUGAAGACGACGACGUUGAUAGGCCGGGUGUGUAAGCGCAGCGAUGCGUUGAGCUAACCGGUACUAAUGAACCGUGAGGCUUAACCUUACAACGCCGAAGCUGUU